rnacentral:misc_RNA from 1 species
AAAUUUUUCAAAGAGUUUUGUUACAAUUUCAGGGGGAUUUUUUCCAGAGAGUUUUUUUCUUUUUCCAGAGAGAGCAAAAAUUUGAAAAAAGGGAGCUCGGAAAAGUAGGAGGAAUUAUAUAAAAUUUGAAGGAAACAUAACAACUAUUGGCUGUAGACAUUCACAUACACAAACAUUCAGGAACAGAGAAAAACUUUAGGGGAAUUAGUUGGAUUUUAAGCUUUGUUCGAGUCCUUCACUUAGUCCCUCUGCUCGUCUCCUACCCCUGUUCGCUGCCCUGCCAAAGGUAAAUGACUCUCUGUCUUCUCUUGCUUUCUUUUUUCCGACUCUGACGAUUGACUGAAUCAUGGAGUAAUUGUUAUUUAGUUAUGAUAUUACAUGGUUUGUUUCAAAUCCGAAUUUCCUCUUCAUCAUAGUCUUUCAAAAUUUUUGUGUUUUAUUUUUGUUCUCCGAAUGACCUUAUCGCAUGUUAAAUGUGCUUUUACCCUGUUUAUGAGUUUUCUUGGUUGAUUAUACUUAUUUCAAGAGUGGCUCACUAUCUUAUUAGUUGCCUCGAUGCCUUAUCUUAUAAUUUGAUUGAAAUCACAAGCAUGCCUACUCAUGUGUUUGGAAAAUAUUGAAAUUAUUCAAGACACUGUCCAUUUGGUUUUCUUGCGAGCAUAAGUCAAUUUGUUAGAGUUGUGUUUUAUUAUAUGCUUAUGAAUUUGUCUCUAUUUAUGCCGUCGUUCAUCACCGGAUGUUUUCUAUUUUCUAGAUUGUAGCUGAGAGUAUAUUUAUCUCCUCUUAUUUAUAAAGCAAGUUUCGAUCUAUUCUCGUGUUAUAUAAAUGGUUGUCCUGAUUAAUGUUGAAGCAUGUUUAUCCCUCCCUUUCUCCCUUAUAUGAAGUCGUGAAUGCCAAUCUCCUUUCUUACCUGUAUUUGCUAAUCACAUGAAAUUUUGUUGUAUAUUACUAGUAUCUUAUAUUCCAUUUUGUUCAUUUAAAAUGACCAUCCUCGUGGCUCGCAAUUUGUGUCAAGUCGAUGGUUAACUUUCCUUUUAGGGAUUUUUCUAAUUAAACUUAAACAAAAU